GUGCCAGAACCAUGUGCCUGAGAUGCCGGAACCACACCCGAACAGACCGAAACCACCUGCCAGACCCGCCUGAACCACCUGCCGAGCACACCGGAACCACCUACUCGACUCGCCGGAACCACCUACCUGACACGCUAAAAUCACCUGCCGGUUAUGCCACAAUCACUUGGUGGACACUCCGGAAUCAUCUGCCGGAUAUGCCAGAACCAGCUCUCAGACACACCAGAACCACGUGCCAGACACGCCGGAAGCACCUGCUGAUCAUGCCUGAGCCAAAUGCUCGACUUGCAAGAAUCACCUGCCAGACACGCCAAAAUCACCUGUCGGGUACGCCAGAACAACGUGGCAGACACUCCGGAAUCACCUGUCGGGCAUGCCGGAACCAACUCUCAGACGUGCCAGAACCUCGUGCCGGUCAUGCCAGAACCACCUGCUGGACAGACCGGAAACACCUGCUGGUAACGCCGGAACCACCGGCUCGAGUCACCGGAACCACCGCUGGACAUGCAAAAUGACCUGCCGGCUACGCCACAACCACUUGGCGAACACUCCGGAAUCACAUGUCGGGCAUGCCGGAACCACCUCUCAGACUUGCCAGAACCAUGUUCCGGACACUCCGGUACCACCUGCCGAGUAUGCCGGAACCACCUGAUCCACUCCCCAGAACCACCUGCUGGACACGCCAGAAUCACCUGCCGACUACGCCAGAACCACUCGGCAGACACUCCGGAACCACCUGCCGGGCAUGCCGGAACCACCUCUCAGAGGUGCCAGAACCACAUGCCGGACACUCCGGAAUCACCUGCCGGGCAUGCCGGAACCAUCUCUCAGACGUGCCAGAACCAUGUUCCGGACACGCCGGUACCACCUGGCGAGCUAGCCGGAACCACCUGCUGGACAUGCCAAAAUCACCUGCCGGCUACGCCAGAACCACUUGGCGGACACUCCAGAAUCACCUGCCGGGCUUGCUGGAACCACCUGCCGGUCACGCCAACAUCACCUGCCAGCUACGCCAGAUCCACUUGGCGGACACUCCGGAAACACCUAUCGGGCCGGCCGCAACCACCUCACAGACGUGCCAGAACCCUGUGCCUGAGAUGCCGGAACCACACCCCGAACAGACCGAAACCACCUGCCAGACCCGCCUGAACCCCCUGGCGAGCACGCCUGAUCCACCUGUUCAAGUAGCCGGAACCAGCUUCCUGACACGCCAAAAUCACCUGCCAGGUAUACCAGAACCACUUGGUGGACACUCUGGAAUCAUCUGCCGGACAUGCCAGAACCAGCUCUCAGACACACCAGAACCACGCGCCAGAGAUGCCGGAAGCACCAGCUGAGCAUGCCUGAGCCACUUGCACGACUCGCAAGAAACACCUGUCGGACAUGCCAAAAUCACCUGCCGGGUAAGCGAGAAACACUUGGCGGACACUCCGGAAUCACCUGUCGGGCAUGCCGGAACCACCUCUCAGACUUGCCAGAACCAUGUUCUGGACACGCAGGUACCACCUGCCGAGUAUGCCGGAACCAGCUGAUCCACUCCCCGGAACCACCUACUGGACACGCCACAAUCAACUGCCGGCUAUGCCAGAACCACACGGCAGACACUCCGGAAUCACAUGCCAGGCAUUCCGGAACCACCUCUCAGAGGUGCCAGAACCACAUGCCGGAGACUCUGGAAUCACCUGACGGGCAUGCCGGAACCUCCUCUCAGACGUGCCACAACCACGUGCCGGACAGACCGGAAGCACCUGCCUAGAUCUCCGGAACCACCUGCUGGACAUGCCGGAACCACCUGCCUCACAGGCCAAAAUCAUAUGCCGGCUACGCCAAAACCACUGGGUGGACACUCCAGAAUCACCUUGCGGGCAUGCCGGAACCACGUCAUGGACAUACGGCAAACACCUGUCGGACCUGCCGGAACCACCUGCCGAGCACGCCGGAACCACCUGCUCGACUGACCAGAGCCACCUGCUGGACACAGCAGAAACACCUGCGGGGUACGCCAGAACCACUUGGAGAACUCUCCUGGAUCACCUGCCGGGCAUGCCGGAACCACCUCUCAGACGUGCCAGAACCUCGUGCUGGACACGCCAGAACCACCUGCCGGACACGCCGGAACCACCAGCUCGACUCGCCGGAACCACCGUCGGACAUGCAAAAUCACCUGCCGGCUACGCCAGAACCACUUGGCGAACACUCCCGAAUCAGCUGCCGGGCAUGCCGGAACCACCUAUCAGGCUUCCCAGAACCAUGUUCCGGACACGCCGGUACCACCUGCCGAGCAUGCCGGAACCACCUGAUCCACUCCCCAGAACCACCUCCUGGACACGCCAGAAUCACCUGCCGUCUACGGCAGAACCACUCGGCAGACACUCCGGAACCACCUGCUGGGCAUGCCGGAACCACCUCUCAGAGGUGCCAGAACCACAUGCCGGACACUCCGGCAUCACCUGCCGGGCAUGCCGGAACCAUCUCUCAGACGUGCCAGAACCAUGUUCCGGACACGCCGGUGCCACCUGCCGAGCUCGCCGGAACCACCUGCUGGACACGCCAAAAUCAACUGCCGGCCAUGCCAGAACCAACUGGCAGACAGUCCAGAAUCAGCUACCAGGCAUGCAUGAACCACCUCUCAGACGUACCAGAAGCACGUGCCAGACGUGCUGGAACCACGUCCUGGACAGACUGGAACCACCUGCUGGCCACGCCUGAACCACCUGCCGAGCAUGCCGGAACCACCUGCCGAGCCUGCCGGAACCACCUGCUCCACUCGCAGGACCCACCUGCUGGACAUGCCAAAAUCACCUUCCGGCUACGCCAGAACCACUUGCCGGACACUCUGGAAUCACCUGCCGGGCAUGCCGGAACCACCUCUCAGACGUUACAGAACCACGUUUCGGACACGCCUGAACCACC
rnacentral:lncRNA from 1 species